GAUGAACGCUAGCGGCAGGCUUAACACAUGCAAGUCGAGGGGUAGAAGGAGCUUGCUCCUUUGAGACCGGCGCACGGGUGCGUAACGCGUAUGCAAUCUACCUUUUGCAGAGGGAUAGCCCAGAGAAAUUUGGAUUAAUACCUCAUAGUAUGUGAGGAUGGCAUCAUUUUCACAUUAAAGUCACAACGGCAAAAGAUGAGCAUGCGUCCCAUUAGCUAGUUGGUAAGGUAACGGCUUACCAAGGCUACGAUGGGUAGGGGUCCUGAGAGGGAGAUCCCCCACACUGGUACUGAGACACGGACCAGACUCCUACGGGAGGCAGCAGUGAGGAAUAUUGGACAAAUGGGCGCAAGCCUGAUCCAGCCAU
rnacentral:rRNA from 1 species